rnacentral:rRNA from 1 species
AUGAAGAGAUUCAAAAAAUAUUUCAAAGGUUGGGGAUCUAACUUGUUUGGGAAAUCUAGAAAGAAAAGGAGAGAGCUUAGAGAGGAACUUGAACAUCUAGAGAAACUAGAAGAGACUGAUGUGCUUUCCCCUGAGUUAUACUGUAAAAAGGUUGAGAUUUUGGUAGAAUUACAUAAUCUGCUAGUGGAAGAGGAGAUUGCAUGGAUGCAAAAGUCCCAUGAAAACUGGUUGCUGAAAGGGGAUAGUAAUACUGACUACUUUCACAUAAUAGUGAACGGUAGAAGGAGGAGGAAUACUAUUUUCUCACUUAGCUGUGGAGAUGAGAUGAUAGAGGGAACAAAAAAUCUGUUAAAACAUGCAACUGAGUUCUAUAAAGAACUUUUUGGACCUGCAGCUGGAAAUCUAUGCAAAUUGAGGGAUGAUAUGUGGGAGCCAAAUGAGAAGUUGACAGAUAUUGACAACUUCAUUCUUACUAGGCCCUUUUCUGAAACAGAAAUAAAAAAUGCUCUCUUCUCUAUGAAACCAAAUAAAGCUCCAGGUCCAAAUAAUAUCCCCAUUAAAUUUUUCCAACAUUGCUGGGAGAUAGUAAAAAACGAGGUAAUGCUCCUGUUUGAGUGGUUUCAUGACAAUAAGCUAGAUGUGCAGCGCUUGAAUUAUGGAAUCAUCACGCUACUACCUAAAGUUGCUGGUGCUAAUAAAAUUCAUCAGUUUCGCCCCAUAUGCGUGCUGAGAUGCAUUUAUGAACUAAUCACUAAGACGCUUACUAUUAGACUAGAACCUUAUGUGGAUAUCCUCUUUAGUAGACACCAAAAUGCUUUUAUUAAGAAAAGAGAUAUUAUGGAUGGAAUCAUGUCUUUACAUGAAAUUCUCCAUCAUACUUAUAGUAAGAAAAAAUCUGGGAUCGUGUUGAAACUAGACUUCGAGAAAGCUUACGACAAAGUUAACUGGGAUUUCCUGUUAAAUUGUCAUAAGAUGAGGGAGUUUCAUCCACAAUGGAUUGAAUGGGUAAGGAAAAUUCUGGUAGGAUAG